UCCUACGGGACGCAGCAGUGGGGAAUAUUGCACAAUGGGGGAAACCCUGAUGCAGCGACGCCGCGUGAGUGAGGAAGUAUUUCGGUAUGUAAAGCUCUAUCAGCAGGGAAGAAAAUGACGGUACCUGACUAAGAAGCCCCGGCUAACUACGUGCCAGCAGCCGCGGUAAUACGUAGGGGGCAAGCGUUAUCCGGAUUUAUUGGGUGUAAAGGGGGCGCAGGCGGUCUGUUAAGUCAGCGGGCAAAGCACGGGGCUGAACCCAGGCCCGCCGGUGAAA
rnacentral:rRNA from 1 species